rnacentral:misc_RNA from 1 species
UACGUAGGUGGCAAGCGUUGUCCGGAAUUAUUGGGCGUAAAGCGAACGCAGGCGGCCCCGUAAGUCUGAUGUGAAAGCCCCCGGCUCAACCGGGGAGGGCCAUUGGAAACGGGGAGGCUGGAGUAUAGGAGAGAAGAGUGGAAUUCCACGUGUAGCGGUGAAAUGCGUAGAGAUGUGGGGGAACACCAGUGGCGAAGGCGACUAUUUGGCCUAUAACUGACGCUGAGGCGCGAAAGCGUGGGGAGCAAACAGG